CAACCCUCAAGCUCAGCUUGGUAUUGGGUGUCACCUGGCAAUGGUGUACCUUAAAAUCAGUGGCAGUGCCAUCUGGCUUCAAGCGUAGUAAUUCUCUCGCUCUGGAGGUUUAGGUGUGUGUGCUUGCCAUCAACCCCUAAUUUUUCAAA
rnacentral:misc_RNA from 1 species